CGGGGGGGCGGGGGGGCCUGCCGCUUGUCACUUACUGCUCCGCUGCUGCACAACAGGAAAAGCUCCGGGGCGAUUGCGCCUGCGUGCGGGCCCCUUGCAGCAGUAGCGGCGCACACGCCUGCGGUGGGGGGAUGCAGCGGGAGGUGGUUUCCCUCACCUGGCAGGGGAGAUCCCCGCCUUCUCCGCCUCGAGCGGCUCGGCGCGGGUAGGCACCCCUGCCAGCGCCUCCCAAUGCCAGGAUCUCGGCUGUGCGGCCUUCGGGGCUGCUGUCUGGCUUCCCCUCUGGCCUACUCCUUCCGCCUUCUGGCUACGGGCACCUGAGCCCAGGGGGCACCGGGACUCCAAGGGCUCUGGCACUUAGGGCGCCUGCCAGGGGGUUGGGGCGGAGGAUACUUGCGGGCGGUCUCGUCACGCAGACUUGAACGAUUCAGCCUGCAGGAUUCAGAACCGAUUUGGCGCGAGACACACAAACAAAUAAAGCAGUGGCAUACACAGGUUGGAGGCCAGUCCUAGGACUAUCUGUCACACGCUCCAGCCUGAUCUUGUUUCUUGAUCUUGAUGCUGCUGCUUUGAGUAUACAUAACCGCAGCCCUAGACAACACACCUCAGUUGGAGAGGACACCUGUUCAUGCCUGCCUCUGACUGAUAUCUUGGGUAUGUGCACACAGAGUGGGUGGAGUUGUACGAACCUUUCGUUUACAACCUGGAGUUGUAAACCCAGACUAGUCAUGCCCAACUCAUAGCUCACAGUUACAGACCCAGGGCAGGGUGCCUAGGGCCUGGAGCAAAGCCUGGAGGCUGGGAUAAGCCUCAAGCGAUCUGACCAGGGAGGCCGGGGUCCUACUCGGUGGUUCUUCGGCUGACCAGAUGCAACUAGAGCAAAAAAGGGUGAGGUGUGGCACCGCACCCACCUCAAUACACCCAGCAGCAACCAUCUGGGGCUGCAGCUACCAAGAUUUUAAAUGCAGAGCUUACUACAGGUUUUUGGAUCUAAGGGCAGAUGUGCUGAUUUCAAUGGAGCUAUGUUCAUUUACACCAACUAAGGAUGUGCAUCACAGAAUUUCGGAGUCUCAGAAUCCGUACAUUACCGAGGACCCAGAGUGACUAUGACUGAACACUCUUCUACUUCACCUCUGCUGAACGGGAUUUUUUCUCCACAAUUUUUCUGCUGACACCCCUGCCACUGAUAUCAUCAUCAUGUUGCCAUUGUCUGACUUCCCAUACAGUUGCACUAUAGCUGCUAUGGAAGGUAAACUGUCAGAAUUAACACCAUGAUCAGCUACUCAUUGGAAUAUCCAUAGGUUCAGCUGGAUAAUACUCAGUGGAAAAUGAUGAAUCCUAUCCUGAUCUUUGUCCCCCUCAGCAUUUCUGGGGGCCCAACACUACAGAGCUCUGGCACAGGAGUUUCUAUCAGGUGCUGAAUAUGGAAGUGAGCAAAGCUGGAAAUCCUCCUUCCACUGAAACUUGCUAGUUUUUACUCCUCUCCAGUCUCUGCAGCACAUGAUAAAAUACUGCCCAACAGUCCAUGUCAUUUAGUCUCCCAGGGAUAACGUAGAAUUGUCCCCUGUAGUACUAUAUACCUGCUAUUUCUCUGAAUCUCUGGUUUGUAGGAGCUUGCUAGGACAAAAGCACUUUGGUGGUCAAUAAACAUGUAUGGAGCCAAACCUCAACAUUUAUUUUCAAUCGUCUUCUUAAUUUGGCUAUAAAUUGCAGCUGCACGAAAUUGGGAGAAACGGAGAGGGCCACAUCAACACAUUUUCCAAAGAUUAUUUCCCAGAAUCAUUCCAUGUUAGAUCAUUUCCCCCAAACAUAGGCUCACAAUAUCCAGAAGCACUUUCCAAUAUGUUCUGGAGCCCCUACUCCUAAACUGCAUUAUCCCAAAGGUGUCUAAUUAGUGU